UUAACAUUGCGGGGGGACACAAUUUGUGUUGAGAAGGUUAAAACCUGACCCUUAGAACCUGACAGUUAACACUGACGUAGGGAGCAAUGAAGGGUGUAAU
rfam:Lysinibacillus massiliensis 4400831 = CIP 108448 = CCTG 49529 contig3, whole genome shotgun sequence.